UACUGGACAAACCCUCCCUAACCCGGACGACGCUAGGUCAAUUGUGCGUCGCCCGGCUGCGACAAAGCCUGGGCUCGAACCCAGAGUCUCUGGUGGCACACAGCUAAUACAUUUCAAGCCUAUAAAAUUGACCAUGACCCACAACCCUCAAAUGUUUGAAUUAAGCAGUUAGCCCCAAGGAGGUGUGGUAUAUUGGCCAUAUACCGCAAACCCCCGAGGUGUCUUAUUGCUAUUAUUAACUGGUUACCAACAUAAUUAGAACAGUAAACAAGUAAUUUUGUGUCAUACACGUGGUAUAUUUAAGCAAAAAGGCCCAGGGGUGUGUAGUAUAUGGAUAAUAUACCACAGCUAAGGGCUGUUCUUACGCAGUGCCGUGGUAUAUUGGCCAUAUACUACAAGAUCCUUAUGGCUAUUAUAAACUGGUUACCAACGUAAUCAGCACUAAAAUCAGUUUUGUCAAACAUGUAGUAUACAUUCUGAUAUACCACGGCUGUCAGCCAGUCAGCAUUCAGGGCUCGAACCACCCAGUUUAUAAUGUCUAAUAUACCAUGGCCUUCAGCAUCUAGGACCCAAACUACCUGGUUUAUAAUAUAAAAUAUAUGCAAUUUAACAGACGCUUUUAUCUACAGCGACUCAACGUGCUUAUGCUCCCGGGAAUCUAAUCACCCAUUCUGGUGUUGCAAGUGCCAUGCUCUACCAACUGAGCAACAAAGGACCACACUCUCUCAUCAAGCUCCUUACUUAGUCUCAAUACUUGAGCAGUCUAUUCUAGGCUCAACCUUUCUUUAUACGUCCUCAUUCUCAGCUGUCCAGUCUUCUCGUGUUAUCAACACUGUGUUCUCUCUGUCAGAUAGAAGGAAUGAUGGCUGGACACCUUACCACUGUUCUGCUGUGUAACCUGAUUCUCCUUUGCAUUUCAAGGACUGCACUAUCUUUAGGAUGUCCAUGCAUCUGUUGUGACACAAAGGUCGCUGAAAACUCACGCAACUCACAUCUCAGUGUUUGUCUUUGUCCUUGGCAUUGCUGUUAACGCUCUGAUGCUAUUGGGCUUGUGCUAUUCCCAUACUGUAGAUGUUUUAACAGAACAAACUGUCAUCGAAAUGUGUUGCACUAUAAAUGUAACUGAUUGUUGGUUUUAGAAUGAUUUUGAAAGCUGAGUUUAAAGUGAAGGUUGCAAGAAAGGUUGUUGUUUGUCACUUGCAUUUCUGUGUAAACCCAAUACAAUGGUGAACCUCCUUGUACAGUAAAGUAGCUAUCUACAUUUGUUCAUUGACUGGCAAAUUGUUUACUCUGUCACCUCGCAGAUAUUGAAUAUUAGACAGUUUUGCCGAAUUUUGUCACACUUAGUUUUUUAUUUGUGGGGUAACUGAAAACUCCCUUUGGAACUGCUGGCUGUUUUAAAGUGUUGUACUACAGUAUGGCUUACUAACAAUUAACAGGAUAACAGACGUGUCCUGUUUGGACUCAGGCAGUUACGGUGUAGUAUUAACCUUAUCUGUAUCAGAUGUAGAAGGUGUUUCUUACAACCUUCAUUUUAAACUCAGCUUUCAAAAUCAUUCUAAAACCAACAAUCAGUUACAUUUAUAGUGCAACACAUUUCGAUGACAGUUUGUUCUGUUAAAGCAUCUACAGUAUGGGAUGGGACUCUCCUCCAUGUGACUCACAGAUGCAGGUCCAGCCUCUUGCAUUGGGAGACCUCCUGUCAGGGACUCCAAACAUGACCACACACAAGAGAUGCUAAUUCAUUUUGCUUUCCAAGUUCCUUCUACAUCUGUACAUCAGCUCAUUUCAAGUUCCUUCUACAUCUGUACAUCAGCUCAUUUCAAGUUCCUUCUACAUCUGUACAUCAGCUCAUUUCAAGUUCCUUCUACAUCUGUACAUCAGCUCAUUUCAAGUUCCUUCUACAUCUGUACAUUUCUAAAUAUUCUAUCUGAUUGUUGUCUCCAUGUCUUCUAAACUUUAGUUUGGACCCUUAUAAAUGUACUUUGUGUAACCGAAUACAGUUCAGGUACCGUUAACAGUUUUUAAUGGGUUGGCCUCUAAGUAGCCUAUGUAAAACAAGUGCUCUUGUUUAGAUAAUUUUUUUUAAAUAAAAAAAAUGUAUUACUUUUUAUUUUCUUUAUCCAAGCAUUUCUCCAUAUAAUUGGUAUGUUUUUCCUCUGUUCAAGCUGUUGCACUACUUUGCUCCUUUCUAUUUGCUGUAUGACUUUCCUCUAUCAAUAAUGCUUCUGUUUGAUAUACUGUAUGCAUUCAUCAUCAUUUAAAAAUAUAUAUUAUUUUGUAUUUAACUAGGCAAGUCAGUUAAGAACAGAUUAUUAUUUACAAUGAUGGCCUACACUGGCCAAACCCGGACAACACUGGACCAAUUGUGUACCGCACUAUGGGACUCCCAAUCACAGCCGGUUGUGGUACAGCUUGGAUUUGGAACCAGGGUUUCUGUAGUGACGCCUCUAGCACUGAGAUGCAGUGUCUUCGACCACGGGAUUAGUUGACCUGAAAGGUCUUUAAGUGAAGUUAGCACUGUACUCUGGAACCUGUCGUGUUGUAGGGCCUUCAAAGACCCGAACUGACUAUAGCCAUGGCUGUAAUAAAAAUACAUGUAUUGUACAAGA